GUUCUUUCCUCUACAUGGACGGGUGCGGCAAUCGCACGCAUUUGUGAUCUAGGAUAAAUGCUUUUGCUUUAUCAUAGGCCACUAAACAUGCUAAGCUUGCGUGGCUAGAACACACGCUUAGGUACAACAAUCUGACCCAGCACCACGCGCCAAGGCGCGCUGAUGUUCACUUAUAUAGCAUCUCCUUAUUCGUAUAUUAUUCACAUAUAGCAUCUCAUUUCUUAUUUGAUUGCUUAUAUAUGCUCAGCGGGAGAAGCACGAGGCGAUGCACCUCUGACCCUGUAGUGCUUGGCUCCAAUUCAUCAGGGAAGACGCCGACAAGCAUCAAGCUGCCCUUGGUGCU
rnacentral:lncRNA from 1 species